GACGUGCUAAUCUGCGAUAAGCGUCGGUAAGGUGAUAUGAACCGUUAUAACCGGCGAUUUCCGAAUGGGGAAACCCAGUGUGAUUCGUCACACUAUCAUUAACUGAAUCCAUAGGUUAAUGAGGCGAACCGGGGGAACUGAAACAUCUAAGUACCCCGAGGAAAAGAAAUCAACCGAGAUUCCCCCAGUAGCGGCGAGCGAACGGGGAGCAGCCCAGAGCCUGAAUCAGUGUGUGUGUUAGUGGAAGCGUCUGGAAAGGCGCGCGAUACAGGGUGACAGCCCCGUACACAAAAAUGCACAUGCUGUGAGCUCGAUGAGUAGGGCGGGACACGUGGUAUCCUGUCUGAAUAUGGGGGGACCAUCCUCCAAGGCUAAAUACUCCUGACUGACCGAUAGUGAACCAGUACCGUGAGGGAAAGGCGAAAAGAACCCCGGCGAGGGGAGUGAAAAAGAACCUGAAACCGUGUACGUACAAGCAGUGGGAGCACAGAGCAAUCUGUGUGACUGCGUACCUUUUGUAUAAUGGGUCAGCGACUUAUAUUCUGUAGCAAGGUUAACCGAAUAGGGGAGCCGAAGGGAAACCGAGUCUUAACUGGGCGUUAAGUUGCAGGGUAUAGACCCGAAACCCGGUGAUCUAGCCAUGGGCAGGUUGAAGGUUGGGUAACACUAACUGGAGGACCGAACCGACUAAUGUUGAAAAAUUAGCGGAUGACUUGUGGCUGGGGGUGAAAGGCCAAUCAAACCGGGAGAUAGCUGGUUCUCCCCGAAAGCUAUUUAGGUAGCGCCUCGUGAAUUCAUCUCCGGGGGUAGAGCACUGUUUCGGCAAGGGGGUCAUCCCGACUUACCAACCCGAUGCAAACUGCGAAUACCGGAGAAUGUUAUCACGGGAGACACACGGCGGGUGCUAACGUCCGUCGUGAAGAGGGAAACAACCCAGACCGCCAGCUAAGGUCCCAAAGUCAUGGUUAAGUGGGAAACGAUGUGGGAAGGCCCAGACAGCCAGGAUGUUGGCUUAGAAGCAGCCAUCAUUUAAAGAAAGCGUAAUAGCUCACUGGUCGAGUCGGCCUGCGCGGAAGAUGUAACGGGGCUAAACCAUG
rnacentral:rRNA from 1 species